rnacentral:lncRNA from 1 species
CAGGCAACACCUCCCUGUAGGGGUGUGAGGCUCUCACUAUCUACAGGAGAAGCAGGAAACUGCCCACAUCAGCAGGAGACUCCAGAUGUCUAGGGAAGAAGGAAAAGAGAGAAUCAUUGAAAAGGAGAUAAAUGGAGAACAGAGGGCUGACUGGGAAAGAAUGAGGAUCCCCCAGGGAUGUCUCAGUGGGCUGGAGGAGUGCCCUCAGACUGGAUUAGACUUCUCUCUGGACCCCCUCCCUCCACAUGCUUUCUGAUUGUGUCUUUGGGUGGUUGCAGCCUCUACCAGAUGACUGCACAUUACACAAUAACAAGGGCGAGUUGUGGGAUCCUCCCUGUGCAAUUCCUGAUUUUACGUGUGUCCAACCAGCCUUACAAGGGUUGAGGAGGCGGAGUAUCUUUGCAUUUGGACUUUCUUGAGGCCAUCACAUACCCUUCUGAUGCUUCUACCGUGAUCCAGGCAGGGUAGAAAUAAAGGUGAUCUGAGAAGACCUAACCCAAAGGAAACAAAAAUCAGAGCCCAGAUCCCCCAGCUGAGCCAUUAAACCAAAGGGGCUGGGAAGAGACAGUAAAUCCAGACAUGAGGCCAUUGGAUAGAAAUGGGAAAUGACAUGAAAACGAAAACCACUUCAAAAUGAAAAAGAUGGAGCCAGGAAAAUUUCCCUGUACUGAGGAGGGUAGCACCAGAAUUUUUCCAAGGCAACUGCAGCCUCAUGACCUGUGAUGGAGGGAAAGAAGGCUGGUGAUGGUAGCCAGCCAGCCUGCUGAGUGGCCCGUGAUUGUACAUUUCAAUUCCUGCAGACAGAGAAACAAGGAUAGAGAAAAAAGAAGGGGAAAGGAGGUGAAAGAAGGUGAAAGGGAAGGGAGGAAGGCAAGACGGAAGCCGAAGCAGAAGCAGGAAUAGAAACCAGAAAUAGAGAGGCAGCAUGUCAUUCCGGAUUCUACCACAGCUCCAUCACAAACUGAGUUCGGGGAACUCUCUCUCCAAGAGUCCUAACUCCUGGUUUUUAUCUCUAAUUGGUUUUAGUAGGAACUGUUGUGGAAUGUUUUUUUUCCUUUUUAAAAAAUCCAAGGAGAUUUUAUGCUUUUAAUAAGCUUUCCUGUUCCUGAACUGCUGUGGAUAAACCAUGAUCCCAGAAGCCAGUUCCAGUUCUUAGUAGACAGGCAGGAAGCAUUCAGUGAGAGAUGCUCCCCAAGCACCUCCGAGUCCAGAGUUGUCUUGUAGAAAUCCCAGGCUGGACAGCCUUAGGGAUAUGUGGAACAGACAACCUGAAGGCCAGAACAAUCAUGAGAGGGUGUGGACCACACCCCAGCAGCCAUCCAGCUAUCUCUAGGAGCCAGAUCCCAAACCGCUGAAGGUAACAUUGGUCCUGGAUGUGAAAGGAUGUUUACUAAGACAUGUGUACCCCAACUUCUCAGGCCUUAAGCCAGCCCGAGCUGCUGUGUGUGUGCACAACCAAGUGGAAGAAGCCAAGUGAAGGGCUAUGGGGACCUAGAAGAUGGAGUCGUCACACAGUGGAAGAAUUGCAGAUCUCUGAGUCACCAUUUGGACAAGAACCUACUAGAACAGGUGCCUGAACAAGAACACUGGACUUUGUACAGGACCUGGACUAGCUUAGACGAAUGAGGCACUUGCCUCUGGCACAAAAGGGGGCACCAAACACCUCGGUAAUCAAGGGAUACUGCUGGAAGAUGGACAGUGAAUUGUCAGAAUUCAGAAGUUCCAGGUCAGAGGUUGACUCAGCCACCCCUGGGCUGAUGGAACCAUCAGAAGGAUCCUCUGAUUCAGUCCCCAAACUGGGCCCUGUGGAGCAGCAUCCCAGACAGCAGGAAUCGGACCUGCAAUUACUCCUUGGGACUCAGGGAGGAGUUUUAACAAGAAAACUGCACAUCUUCAGAGCAGGUGGUCUUUUCUGUCUCUAUAAUCAAACAAAAAUUUUUUUCGACUGUUCUAUAACAGACUGCUGCCUGGGAUCCUAGAACUGUUGCGUUUUUGAUCUUCCUCUUCGCAGCAUGGACAGUGGAUCCCCUUGAUCUGCAAGCCCUGCCCUGCCUCUCUCUGCACGCUGGGGGUUCAGGGAGGCUACACCCUUGGGGGGCACUGGGAGCUGCUGGAGAUGUGCACAGCGAGCAGUGGAGAGCAGUCGUCUCUUCUGAUCUACAUGCAGGGGAACUGGUGAGAGUUGCCGUAGGACCUCUGGUGAAAUUACCUUGGCUACUGACUAGUAAAGAGAUGAGAAAGGAGAGGUACUAUAGAUUUUCUUUAAGAAAUAAAUAUUGUCUCCUCUUUCUCUCUUUUCUCUGGUAAACAGUGCCCAAAUUUGGAAAUAUCACGUGUAAUUUAUUGUCCCACUUUAAAUGUUUCUUGUAACCAUGAAUUACUAUUCUUGGAUCAGAUUCCAUUAUAAUAAACUCCCACUUGGACUCCAAAUUCUUUUACAACAGUGGAAUUUUGCUUGAACUAACGCAUUGUUAUAAAUCACAUUUUCUGACCCCAGCCUGGAGUUCA